AGCGAACGCUAGCGGCAGGCUUAACACACGCAAGUCGAGGGGUAGAGGAAGCUUGCUUCCUUGAGACCGGCGCACGGGUGCGUAACGCGUAUGCAACCUACCUUUUACAGAGGGAUAGCCCAGAGAAAUUUGGAUUAAUACCUCAUAGUAUAUAGUCUUCGCAUGUUGCCUAUAUUUAAGUUCCAACGGUAAACGAUGGGCAUGCGUCCUAUUAGCUAGAUGGUAAGGUAACGGCUUACCAUGGCAACGAUAGGUAGGGGUCCUGAGAGGGAGAUCCCCCACACUGGUACUGAGACACGGACCAGACUCCUAAGGGAGGCAGCAGUGAGGAAUAUUGGACAAUGGGCGCAAGCCUGAUCCAGCCAUGCCGCGUGCAGGAAGAAGCAUCUAUGGUGUGUAAACUGAUUUUGUACAGGAAGAAACACCCCGACGUGUCGGGACUUGACGGUACUGUAAGAAUAAAGAUCGGCUAACUCCGUGCCAGCCGCCGCGGUAACAC
rnacentral:rRNA from 1 species